GAACAGCUAUUGGAGCCUCUAGAGUUUGAUCCUGGCUCAGUAGGUCGUAACAAGGUAACCAGUAUUGGAUCCUCUAGAGUUUGAUCCUGGGUCAAUAAGACUGAACAAGGUAACCGGAAUUGGAUCCCCUACAGUUUGAUCCUGUGUCCCGAAAGGUUCGAAAUUGAAAGGCGGCUUCGGCCCCUACUUAUGGAUGGACCCGCGUCGCAUUAGCUAGUUGGUGAGGUAACGGCUCACCAAGGCAACGAUGCGUAGCCCACCUGAGAGGGUGAUCGGCCACACUGGGACUGAGACACGGCCCAGACUCCUACGGGAGGCAGCAGUAGGGAAUCUUCCGCAAUGGACGAAAGUCUGACGGAGCAACGCCGCGUGAGUGAUGAAGGCUUUCGGGUCGUAAAACUCUGUUGUUAGGGAAGAACAAGUGCUAGUUGAAUAAGCUGGCACCUUGACGGUACCUAACCAGAAAGCCACGGCUAACUACGUGCCAGCAGCCGCGGUAAUACGUAGGUGGCAAGCGUUAUCCGGAAUUAUUGGGCGUAAAGCGCGCGCAGGUGGUUUCUUAAGUCUGAUGUGAAAGCCCACGGCUCAACCGUGGAGGGUCAUUGGAAACUGGGAGACUUGAGUGCAGAAGAGGAAAGUGGAAUUCCAUGUGUAGCGGUGAAAUGCGUAGAGAUAUGGAGGAACACCAGUGGCGAAGGCGACUUUCUGGUCUGUAACUGACACUGAGGCGCGAAAGCGUGGGGAGCAAACAGGAUUAUAUACCCUGGUAGUCCACGCCGUAAACGAUGAGUGCUAAGUGUUAGAGGGUUUCCGCCCUUUAGUGCUGAAGUUAACGCAUUAAGCACUCCGCCUGGGGAGUACAGUUUGAUGGAAAGUGCGUAGAGAUAGGAGGAACACCAGUGGCGAGGGCGACUUUUUGUUCUGUAACUGACAUUGAGGCGCGAAAGCGUGGGGAGCAAACAGGAUUAGUUACCUUGUUAGUCCACGCCGUAAACGAUGAGUGUUAAGUGUUAGAGGGUUUCCGCCCUUUAGUGCUGAAGUUAAGCAUUAAGCAUUCCCCCUGGGGAGUACGGCCGCAAGGUUGAAAUUCAAAGGAAUGGACGGGGGCCCGCCCAAGCGGUGGAGCAUGUGGUUUAAUUGGAAGCAACGCGAAGACCCUUACCAGGUCUGGACUUCUUUUGACAACCCUAGAGAUAGGGUUUUUCUUUGGGGAGCAGAGUGCCAGGUGGGGCAUGGUUGUGUUCAGCUCGUGUCGUGAGAUGUUGGGUUAAGUCCCGCAACGAGGGCAACCCUUGAUUUUAGUUGCCAUCAUUCAGUUGGCCAUUUUAAGGUGACUGCCGGGGCCAAACCGGAGGAAGGUGGGGAGGACGUCAAAUCUUCAUCCCCCUUAUGCCUUGGGUAACCCACUUGUUCCAAUGGCCGGUACAAAGAGCGGCAAGACCGCGAGGGGGAGUAAAAAGGAAAAAACCUUUUUCAGUUCGAGAGUUGGUCCAAUUGGGGAAAGUGGUAAAAAGGUAACCAGUAUUGGAUCCUCAGCAGUUUGAUCCGGGCUCGUUAAGUGGUAACAAGGUAACCAGUAUUGGAUCCUCUAGAGUUUGAUCCUGGCUCAGGAAGUCGUAACAAGGUAACCACUAUGUCCUCUAGA
rnacentral:rRNA from 1 species